GUAACUGAGUACUCAUUUGUAGGCACAAAAGAGAAGGAAGGAAGGAAGGGAGAGAGGGAGGGAGGAAGGGAAGUAUGAAGGAAGGAAAGAAAUGAGAAAGGAGAAAGGAAGGAAAUGAAUGAGGGGGAGAGAGACGGAAAGAAAACUGGCUAAAUUUUUAAAAAGCAAUUAACUCUUAUUACUAAAAAAUUAAGGGCUCAAACAACAUUCCUAGUACCUGAUUUCUGCAUUUCUCUGGCCUUCUUUUCUAGGUAGUUGCUUGAUUUUCAAAGAGUUCUUUCUAAUGGUGACCCCCUAACAACUAUAAAUUUAUAUCUGACCAGUUUACAAUCUAGCAUUAAAAAAAGCUGCUUUCCUCAGAAAUACCUACAAAAGUAUUGGCUUACUUUGAUGAGAGCAACUUUUUGCAUGUUUCCAUCCCUAAAACAAUCCAGGGUGAUUCAAUAUUUUAACUGUCUAAACCUAGAUCACAAACUGGUUUCAGCUCCAUCCAAAGUAUAAAGCCAGAAGGUACAAGGAGCAUGGUUCCCCAAAGGAAAUGUACAUAGUGUUACACCAAAGAGCAUGUUAGACUGUAAAAUCAGAAAAAUACUCACUACAUUGUCACUUACCUCAGUGACACUUGUUAUCAUUAUUUUUACUAUAUAUGUUUUCUGCCCAUUCACAAAAAUCCUAUUAAACCCACUAUCUUAAACAUUCACUCUAUUUAACAACUUUACUCGGAAAAUAUACUUGGAUUUCCAAUUUGGUGUAUUGCAAUAUAUCUCCUUCCCUUGCUUUAAGCUUGGCAAAAUGAGAAGGAAAUCUUUAUCAUAUCUAUGUGGAGCUAUCAUUUAACUGUUAUGAGCCUCAGUUUUCUUCCACCUUCUAGGAAGUUACCCAACCAAUUUUCUUUGUUUUUGACCAAAAUAUCUCUGCUUCCUACAGAAAAUAGCAGAUUGUUGUCUGAUAACUUUUCUCCUUUUCCAGAAGCAAGGAAGACCAGCUCAGAACUGGGAUUGGAGAACAGAGAGACACUUAUCGGUGCUACUCAAAUUGUAGAGUUACUCUGGUAUUUCCAUUAA
rnacentral:lncRNA from 1 species